rnacentral:lncRNA from 1 species
AUUUUGUAUUAAUAUGAUCUUGUCUAUAUGCCAGCUUUGAUUGUUUGGAAUGUCUACUGGUUUUCCCUUCUACGUACUGCAUUUGUAUGAACAUCAAGAUUGUUCUCCUUGGGUCUGUGCAGGGAAGUUUUGGCUAGCUCUAUUGUAUAGUUUUAUUGUUGAUAUUCAUCCCAAUUUGUAUCUAGUGUUGAAUUGUGUAUUUAUAUGACAGGAUAUUCCUAAUUAUUGGAAGAGUUUUAUGCACAAGGGUGGUAUACCUAGGACGACAAAGUUGUUUUUCAUUUGGCUGUAGAUAUUGUUAAAACCGUUUUUUUUUCAGGGGUGAUUAUUUUCGGAGGGCUAAAUAUUUCGCUGUGGUGUCUUGCCAUGGCUUUAUUUGGACUUGUUUAUUUGCUUUUUGGCAUUGAGUGUUUGUCCCUGAUGUUCUAUUGGCUGUGCAUUUGCAUUUAGGUAUCGCAGAUCAAAUUAUUCGUUCAUAGUGUGUUGAUUUGCGUUUUUUGAUUGAGUUAAGCCUUCCAGUUGAUAUUUUAUCAUGUGUUUUUCUAUGUUGUGGUGUUAUACUGUUGUUUU